UACAGAGGGUGCGAGCGUUGUCCGGAAUCACUGGGCGUAAAGGGCGCGUAGGCGGCUCGGUCAGCGUGCGGUGAAAGCCCGGGGCUCAACCCCGGGUCGGCCGUGCGAACUGCUGGGCUGGAGCACUGUAGAGGCAGGUGGAAUUCCGGGUGUAGCGGUGGAAUGCGUAGAGAUCCGGAAGAACACCGGUGGCGAAGGCGGAUCUCUGGGCCGUAACUGACGCUGAGGAGCGAAAGCAUGGGGAGCGAACAGG
rnacentral:rRNA from 1 species